ACCGUAAGGAGCUGUGGACUGCAUGGAAGAGAGAAUGCCGGAAUGAGUAGCGAGAAUAAGGUGGGAAUCCUUAUGGCCGAAUAUCCAAGGUUUCCAGAGUAAAGCUGAUCUGCUCUGGGUAAGUCGGGGCCUAAGGCGAGGACGAGAGUCGUAGCCGAUGGACAACAGGUGGAGAUUCCUGUACUGCGGUAUGACAGAACUGUGGGGACACGUAAGGAAAGCGGAAGCCGGGAAUGGAAAGCCCGGUGCAAGCGGGGUACCAGUCACUUUGGCAAAUCCGGGUGGCAAUGGGAAGCCGUGAUGCGGAGCGAAAUAAAGUAGCGAAGUCCGUGAGCCAUGCGUCAAGAAAAGCCGCUAUCGUUUAUACCGUACCCGUACCGUAAACCGACACAGGUGGAUGAGGAGAGAAUCCUAAGGCCGGCGGAAGAAGCAUUGUCAAGGAACUCGGCAAAAUGGCCCCGUAACUUAGGGAUAAGGGGUGCCUGGGAAACCAGGCCGCAGAGAAUAGGCUCAAGCAACUGUUUAGCAAAAACACAGGUCUAUGCGAAACCGAAAGGUGAGGUAUAUGGGCUGACGCCUGCCCGGUGCUGGAAGGUUAAGAGGAGAGGUUAGCGGUAACGCGAAGCUUUGAAUUUAAGCCCCAGUAAACGGCGGCCGUAACUAUAACGGUCCUAAGGUAGCGAAAUUCCUUGUCGGGUAAGUUCCGACCCGCACGAAAGGCGUAAUGAUUUGAGCGCUGUCUCGACAAUGCAUCCGGUGAAAUUGAAGUACCAGUGAAGAUGCUGGUUACCUGCGCCAGGACGGAAAGACCCCAUGGAGCUUUACUCCAGUCUGGUACUGGGACUCGGUAUUGCAUGUACAGGAUAGGUGGGAGGCUAGGAGAUGGUAACGCCAGUUGCCAUGGAGCCGCUGUUGGGAUACCACCCUUGCAGUAUUGGGUUUCUAACCAGCCGCCGUGACCCGGCGGUGGGACAAUGCCAGACGGGGAGUUUGACUGGGGCGGUCGCCUCCGAAAGGGUAUCGGAGGCGCCCAAAGGUUCCCUCAGAAUGGACGGAAACCAUUCGAAGAGUGCAAAGGCAGAAGGGAGCUUGACUGCGACACCGACGGGUGGAGCAGGUACGAAAGUAGGGCUUAGUGAUCCGGUGGUAUUAAGUGGGAAUGCCAUCGCUCAACGGAUAAAAGCUACCCUGGGGAUAACAGGCUUAUCACUCCCAAGAGUUCACAUCGACGGAGUGGUUUGGCACCUCGAUGUCGGCUCAUCGCAUCCUGGGGCUGUAGUAGGUCCCAAG
rnacentral:rRNA from 1 species